CCUACGGGAGGCAGCAGUGGGGAAUAUUGGACAAUGGGGGCAACCCUGAUCCAGCCAUGCCGCGUGUGUGAAGAAGGCCCUCGGGUUGUAAAGCACUUUCAGCGAGGAAGAACGCCUAGCGGUUAAUACCCGCUAGGAAAGACAUCACUCGCAGAAGAAGCACCGGCUAACUCCGUGCCAGCAGCCGCGGUAAUACGGAGGGUGCAAGCGUUAAUCGGAAUUACUGGGCGUAAAGCGCGCGUAGGUGGCUUGAUAAGCCGGUUGUGAAAGCCCCGGGCUCAACCUGGGAACGGCAUCCGGAACUGUCAAGCUAGAGUGCAGGAGAGGAAGGUAGAAUUCCCGGUGUAGCGGUGAAAUGCGUAGAGAUCGGGAGGAAUACCAGUGGCGAAGGCGGCCUUCUGGACUGACACUGACACUGAGGUGCGAAAGCGUGGGUAGCAAACAGGAUUAGAUACCCUGGUAGUCCACGCCGUAAACGAUGUCGACCAGCCGUUGGGUGCCUAGCGCACUUUGUGGCGAAGUUAACGCGAUAAGUCGACCGCCUGGGGAGUACGGCUGCGAGGUUAAAACUCAAAUGAAUUGACGGA
rnacentral:rRNA from 1 species